ensembl:lincRNA
AAACUUGGUGUCAUUUGCCACUUGCUAUAAAUGGGAAUUUGCUAUACAUGUCACAGAUGCCAGGCCUGCAGCUGGAAGGCAAGAGCUUGGCCCAUCCUGAGAACAGCCAGGCUGAAACAAUGCAGCCUCCACAUGGGGCUCACUUGCUCACUCCUCGCUACUGAAAAGCAAGCAAAUGAACUUGACAUUCAUAUCAUACUCAUGCGGUUUCCUUAACUUGACGAGCACAUAGGGACUCACAGGUACUUCUAAGAUGCAUUUCAAAGAUGAAGAAGCAUCUUUUGUGCUCUCUGCCAGCCAAGGAUCCUUCAGAUUGAAAGGGAAGCAGUCAGGACGGCAGACCCAUCUCAGAGAUCAAGUGAAAUGGUGCCAGAACAGGGCUCCGGGGAUGGCUUGCUUUCCCACAGAUGAUGAUCGGGAGUGGAACACCCCCACACCCUCAGGCCAGCGUCGGCUUGUGGAAAGCUGGGCAGCGAGAGAAGCCUUCCAGCCUCCACCUUGGAUCCAUGCUUGGAAUCUGGAAGAAUCCUACUGGACACCUGGGAUGAUCUUUCAUGAAUCUCUCCCAUAUUUUUCUUAUUUUCUUUAAUAUUUUAUACAUACAGAAAUAUGUGUAACAUAUGUGUUAGUUAUAAGCAUAAUUACAAAAUGGAAAUCUGUAAGUCUACCACCCCAUCCGAGGAUGAAAGUGUUUCCAGGAACACUGCAUGUGCUUAGCCAUUUGCUCCGCUUUUUUCCCAGAAGUAACCAAGAUCCUGGGUUUUGUGCUCUUCAUGAAUCCCCUUGCUAAGACAAAACCAAAGCAAAACAAAGAUAUUAUAGCCUGUAGUUAAAUAUUUUGCUUUAAAAUUUGCCUCUUGUUUUCCCUGCUUUUAAGAGCUUUGCCAAGAUGGGAGUAUGUGUACAGUUUUUUGGAACUUGCACUUCUUUACCUAACAUUGUGUUUCAAAGAUCUGCUGGUGUUGCAUGUGGCUGUAGCU